rnacentral:rRNA from 1 species
GACGAACGCUGGCGGCGUGCUUAACACAUGCAAGUCGAACGGGUCUGCCCUGUUUUUUGCGGGGUGGGUCAGUGGCGAACGGGUGAGUAACACGUGAGUAACCUGCCCCUCACUUCUGGAUAACCGCUUGAAAGGGUGGCUAAUACGGGGUGUUCUGGCUGUGCCGCAUGGUGUGGCUGGGAAAGAUUCACUUUUGUGGUGUUUUGGUGGGGGAUGGGCUCGCGGCCUAUCAGCUUGUUGGUGGGGUGAUGGCCUGCCAAGGCUUUGACGGGUAGCCGGCCUGAGAGGGUGGGCGGUCACACUGGGAAUGAGAUACGGACCAGACUCCUGCGGGAGGCAGCAGUGGGGGGUAUUGCACGAUGGGCGGAAGCCUGAUGCAGCGACGUCGCGGGAGGGAUGGAGGCCUUCGGGUUGUGAACCUCUUUCGCCGGUGAAGAAGGUCCUGCUCUUUGUGGUGGGGUUGACGGUAGCCGGGUUAUGAAGCGCCGGCUAACUACGUG